UCACUUCAAAUUUAAAUCAAUCAUAUCCGAGUGACCUUUUAUGUUUAUGUUGACAAGUGCCUUAUACAGGAAAUGUAAGAUUUGUAGGAUUUGUUGAAAAAUAUAGAAUAACUGCAGCUUUAUCCUUUGAAUAACCACUGCAUGGUUUAAACGUAGGCUCACUGUAGUCUGUGUGUGGCUGACAACACAAAGUGCAGGUAUAUCAGCCCACACUAUGAUCUCCCAUAAGUGUUGAUCCACUGAAGUUGCUGCGUAAUGACUGGAUGUUUUCUUUGGCCAACAGUCCCGUCCUGUUUGAGCAACACAAGGGACAAUGGUCUCAUUGGCAAGAUGGACUGGUUUGAUGAUUUAAUAUAAAAGCUCUCACUCAUCAGGUGUCAAGUCCGUACGUCUCCACUAAGAGCAACAUAAACCGCUUGUAAAGAAAUAAUGGUAUUAUUAGGUAAAUCAAGUUGUUCAGUUGUUGGUUUUAAAUGCUGUAAAUCACAAUUAAAAGAACAUUAAGCUGCACAGUCAAGCAUAACCUCCUCAGGAGAGCCUUAUUAACUAAUGACCCUAAUAUAUCCUGCAUUACAGUGGCUGCUCUUUAACUUAAUCCUUUCAAUCAUUCUGAAAUGGCCACAGCUCUGUGCCCGGUACAAAGAGAGGUCAACUUCAUGGUGAGGUCAGACAGAGGUCAUCCUAAGACUGGGAGGUACAAGAGGUUUCAGUUAAAGAUAUGUUGUGUUGUGGUUUAUCAUGUCUGAGAUUAUUUUUGAGAUCAUCUCACAUUCUGAGAUGUGAGGAAAAAAAUCAGUAAAACAAUAACAUUAGCCUAAUUCUAACCAUUUGAACCAACCCCCUGAGAAACCUCUGAAAUGUGGAAUAAAACCAUUUUAUUUAAACCUUUCUUCAGAAGACGUCAGACCAGAGGAGUUAAUGCGCCGACUGAAAUGGGUGAAAGGGAAACUUCCUAGUCAAUAAUGGACGCAUGAACCUGCAUUCACUGGCCAUUGUCUUUCAGUUAGCACCAGGAAGAGGGUCCAGUCUGGAGGGGGGAGAAUAAAAGAAGCUUUGUAAAUCUGCAAAGAGGAAAUACGAUCAACCGGUGCCAUUGUCCACACUUUAUAAAACCCUGGACAAGACAAGUACUGAGGCCCCAUCUGGUGUGAUGGUUGACAGAGGAAACAUUAGCUCUCCAUGGAAAGGACCUGGUGGAACUCACUGAUUUUGCAGAGCCAGCUGACCAGGAUCCACAGGGCCACCAGGUACGGGGUGGAGACAUGGUGCCACUUCCAGGUCACAAUAGGCAGGGUGGUGAUGGGCCCUCCUCCGUGACCACUGUCUCCGC